rnacentral:lncRNA from 1 species
CUGUGAGAUGUUUUAUUUAUGCUCACUACCACCUGAUUUUUUUCAGCACUUUGCUGGAACAAUUAGUCUAGUAUUCCUGUAAACUUAUAUCUCAUUACAGAGGGCCAGACUAUCCCUCUACAACACAGACAUGCAUAUUACCUCUGUAACUGGAAAUGAAAGGCUGACACCGGCCCCAGCCCCUGAACCUUGCAGACCAGAUCAAUGGCCUUUGCGAUGCGUGAGUGCGAGAAUUCAGGGUUGGAGGCGUGGAGGCUAUUCCUCCUCCCUCCCACUCUCCUGCCCCAGAAAUCAGUGGAGAAGUGAAAGAAACUCUGCCAUACAUUCAAAAACCAUUUGGCAGAGACCAGAAGAGAUGGGGAAGUAGCAGUGGUGACUAGAUGCAGAUUUCUAGAAAUGCAGUUCAAUGCAGCAGACGGAAUAUGGAAGAGUCAUUCAAAUGGCACUGAUUGGAAAAAGUGAGACUUGCAAAAGCAUCAGGUUGUUGACUACUAAGGAGCAUGAGAUUUCACCUAACCAGAGUUAUCUUCUGUACUUCUGUGAUGCAGAAUUAUGGGGUUUCUCUGAAUUUUGGACCCUACAACAGUCUUGCAGCUUGUAGCCAGCUCUGUCUUGCUGGAGGCACAGAUCAGCAAGAUUGGAGGGGAAGGAGGAUGAAGGAUUACUGGCCCACCUCGCCUGGGAUGGGAUGGUGGCCACAGGCUCUGGUGUCCACGGAGCUCCCUGUGCUAUGCCCUGCUUGUCAAGCCUCCCUCAGCAUCUGUAACGGCUCCCAUCAAAAUUUUGAAACUACGCAAGUCCACUUGUGUUCAAGAGCUGCUGUACUGCUGGAAAUUAAAAUAGGUCAGGGUCAAAUGUUUGUACAGAUAUUACAAAUAUUUAAUUGA